AACUCAGUGGCAUCCAGCCCAGAUUAUAUAAUGGAACCAAAUUCUCGACUGUUCUUAAUGUUGCAUAACAAAUUGCCACAAACUUAGCUACACAAACACCACAUAUUAUUAUCUCAGUCUUCGUGGGUCAGAAGUCUGGGCACGAAUUAGCUGGUCCUCUGCUCAGUUUCAAAGGCUGCAAUCAAGGCAUUAGCUGGGCCACAUUCUCAUCAAAGGUUCAACUAGGGAAAAAUCCACUUCCAAGUUCAUCCCAGUUGUUGACAGAAUUCAUCUCUUUGCAGCUACAUAACUGGAGCCUCAGCUCUUCACUGACUGUCCUCAGGUUCCAGGGGCCACCUGCAGUUCCUUGCCACAUGGAUUUCUCCAGCAUAGCUGUGUACUUCAUCAAGGCACAAGGAGAGUCUCCAGUCUACCAGAGCCCUAUGUAAUGUAACAUAAUCAACAAAGUGACGUCCCAUUCAUAUUCAAUUGGUCAGAAGCAAGUUACAGUCCCCACCCAGGUCAGAGGGAGGAGAUAUGACAAAGAAGUAAACAUCAGGAGGCUGGGACAAUGGGGAUACUUAAGGUCCAUCCUGCUACAACUUCCACAAUGGCGUCUUGACCAUGAGGGCUCCACAGACACUGAAGCGGUCACCCAGGCUGCAAGUCUUGGAGGCAUUCUCUAGGAAUCACAGUCCCAUUCUUCUGCAGGCAAACGGAGUCGCCAUAUGACCCAGCCCUGGUCUUGCUUGGCUUUCUGGAUGUUCUCAACCUUGACAUGACUCCUUAUUCUCCAAUUCAUUUGGACCUCAAGACACUACUACUCUGGCUACAGCCGGCAUUAAAAAGAUGACACAGAAAAAUUACAGAGUCAGCAUAUAUUUGAAUACUGGAUAAAAGGGAAGAGGAUGAAAUGGAUUUUUCAAAGCUUCUAAAGAAAACAGAACUAGGUAAUACAUGAUGUUGGACUUAGUCUAAUGAUUUGGACAUUUAAUGAGACAUGAAUAAAAAUGGAAUAAAGUGGUAGAGUUGUGGCUUUUUAUCCUUAUUUUGAAAAUAAAUUUUCAAAAGAGAACCCAAAUACAAAAAGGAUAAAAAUAAAGAUUCUCUGCUUGAAGUAAAGACAUGGAACCCAGAGCCCUAUUCAAUGUCUGAGCUUAAUUUAUCCUCCAAGUUUGUCCUGACUUAACUCUAUGGAACUUUCAGAGAUCUUUG
rnacentral:lncRNA from 1 species